rnacentral:rRNA from 1 species
CAACGCCGCGUGGAGGAUGAAGUCCUUGGACGUAAACUCCUUUCGACCGGAAGAUGAUGACGGUACCGGUGGAAGAAGCCCGGCUAACUUCGUGC